CAGUAGCCGCGGGAACACAGAGGGUGCGAGCGUUAAUCGGAUUUACUGGGCGUAAAGCGUGCGUAGGCGGCUUUUUAAGUCGGAUGUGAAAUCCCUGAGCUUAACUUAGGAAUUGCAUUCGAUACUGGGAAGCUAGAGUAUGGGAGAGGAUGGUAGAAUUCCAGGUGUAGCGGUGAAAUGCGUAGAGAUCUGGAGGAAUACCGAUGGCGAAGGCAGCCAUCUGGCCUAAUACUGACGCUGAGGUACGAAAGCAUGGGGAGCAAACAGGAUUAGAUACCCCGGUAGUCCCUGUCUCUUAUAC
rnacentral:rRNA from 1 species